GAUGAACGCUGGCGGCGUGCCUAAUACAUGCAAGUCGAGCGAACGGACGAGAAGCUUGCUUCUCUGAUGUUAGCGGCGGACGGGUGAGUAACACGUGGAUAACCUACCUAUAAGACUGGGAUAACUUCGGGAAACCGGAGCUAAUACCGGAUGAUAUAUUGAACCGCAUGGUUCAAAAGUGAAAGACGGUCUUGCUGUCACUUAUAGAUGGAUCCGCGCUGCAUUAGCUAGUUGGUAAGGUAACGGCUUACCAAGGCAACGAUGCAUAGCCGACCUGAGAGGGUGAUCGGCCACACUGGAACUGAGACACGGUCCAGACUCCUACGGGAGGCAGCAGUAGGGAAUCUUCCGCAAUGGGCGAAAGCCUGACGGAGCAACGCCGCGUGAGUGAUGAGGGUCUUCGGAUCGUAAAACUCUGUUAUUAGGGAAGAACAUAUGUGUAAGUAACUGUGCACAUCUUGACGGUACCUAACCAGAAAGCCACGGCUAACUACGUG
rnacentral:rRNA from 1 species